GGGUGAGUAACACGUAUGCAACCUGUCCGGUACAGGGGGAUAAGCGGCGGAAACGCCGUCUAAUACCGCGUGACAACCCGAGGGGGCAUCCCCUUGGGUUCAAAGGAGAGAUCCGGUACCGGCUGGGCAUGCGGCGCAUUAGCUAGUUGGCGGGGCAACGGCCCACCAAGGCGACGAUGCGUAGGGGUUCUGAGAGGAAGGUCCCCCACACUGGAACUGAGACACGGUCCAGACUCCUACGGGAGGCAGCAGUGAGGAAUAUUGGUCAAUGGGCGCAAGCCUGAACCAGCCAAGUCGCGUGAGGGAAGACGGCCCUACGGGUUGUAAACCUCUUUUGCCGGGGAGCAAGCCUGAGUACGUGUGCCCAGGCGGAGAGUACCCGGAGAAAAAGCAUCGGCUAACUCCGUGCCAGCAGCCGCGGUAAUACGGAGGAUGCGAGCGUUAUCCGGAUUUAUUGGGUUUAAAGGGUGCGCAGGCGGGCUGUUAAGCCGGCGGUAAAAAUUCAGGGCUCAACCCUGUCGAGCCGUCGGAACUGGCAGUCUUGAGUGGGCGAGAAGUAUGCGGAAUGCGUGGUGUAGCGGUGAAAUGCAUAGAUAUCACGCAGAACGCCGAUUGCGAAGGCAGCAUACCGGCGCCCAACUGACGCUGAGGCACGAAAGCGUGGGGAUCGAACAGGAUUAGAUACCCUGGUAGUCCACGCAGUAAACGAU
rnacentral:rRNA from 1 species